UACGUAGGGUGCAAGCGUUGUCCGGAAUUAUUGGGCGUAAAGAGCUCGUAGGCGGUCUGUCGCGUCGGCUGUGAAAACCCGGGGCUCAACCCCGGGCCUGCAGUCGAUACGGGCAGACUAGAGUGCGGUAGGGGAGACUGGAAUUCCUGGUGUAGCGGUGAAAUGCGCAGAUAUCAGGAGGAACACCGGUGGCGAAGGCGGGUCUCUGGACAGUUCCUGACACUGAGGCACGAAGGCCAGGGGAGCAAACGGG
rnacentral:rRNA from 1 species